UUUAAAUAAGAAUAUAUGAUGACAGAGUAUAUAAACCUUGAUUAAAGUAUUAGAACAUUAGUUCAGAUGAGAAAAAAAAAUAGAUGAAUCAAAACAAUUAAAAAUAAAAAGUUGAAUGAAUGAGUGACCUGGUACACUCAAAUUCCAUCAAACUCUUAACUUUAAUCUAAGUAAACUAAAGUACUUAAACAAUUAUAUAAACAGGAAACCCAAAAAUAUUUUCCAAACACGAGCAGUAGAAUACAAAAAUAACAUAGUACUUCUUUCCAAAAUAACUUAUGCAACUAUAUUCAGUAGAAGACACUGCAUUUUCCCCAAGUCUAAUAACAACAUAUUUUGGGAUGCCAACAAAAAAUCACCAAAAGCAGUGAAGGAGAUUUGAAAAAGGGGGUUUGAAAUCACCAAAAAUUCACAAUAAUCACCAAUAGAUGAAAGGGGUUUAAUAUUUCGAAAUCACCAAAAAAUACAGUAAUCAAACAAAAAAGGGGUUUGGAAAAGAAAUACCAACAAAGCAAUAAUGAACAAUCGAUUUAUAAAGAUUAAUAAGAACAAAUCAACUAAUAACAAACAAUAGAUGAAGAAGGGAGAGAAGAUUUACAGGCAAAAGAAGAAGAGCAGUAACGAAGGACAACGAAGCAGUAACCAAGAUAAGGUGCAGUAACCAGUAGGCUGGUGGGUGGGUAUCGAAAUCUCGUCCGUAGGAAGUCGAUCAGCAUGACCUAAGGUGCCGAGGAAGAGGAGAGCGAAGAGGAGAAGAUCUUAGAUCUUCGACUUCUUCUUUUGCUUCUGCGUUUUUCAAGUGAACUCAAUUAGGACUAGGUAUGAGAGAUAAGAGAUUAGGGGAGAUGAGGGGGGGUGGGAUCGAGUUGGCUGGGUAUGAGAGAUAAGAGGUCUGUGUGAGUGUAAGAACAAAGAGAGAGAGAUAGAAGGAUUGAAAUUUGAAUAAGGAAGCUCAGAUGAUGUGAAACUUAAAUUUGAAUAAGAACAGAGAGAGCUGUUGACGUGAAGCUUUUUCUAGUGAUUUUUGAAUAAGGCGUGUUUUUUUAGUGAUUUUUGCAGAGGUAUAAGGCGUGUUUUUCUAGCAAUUUUUGAAUUGUGCGUAUUUUUGAAUUCAAAACCAUUAGAGUAAUUAGAUUAAAUCUGAGGUAUUGGAUGAUGAAGCUUUAAUCUAGACCGUUGUUUGUUGAAGCCGCUCUGUUUUAUUAUAUAUAUAUAUAUAUUUCCUCUCUUUCCUUCACUGUAACACUAGGUAACCCUAAAACGCUAGGGUUUUACAAAAAAGCGAGUGAUAUGGCGUGCACGGUUGAUUUAAGGUGCCUAGAUGAAGGCUUUGGCAGCAAAACCUACAAGCGGAAAAGUGCCGAACAACAUCCCAAUCAGUUAAAUCUCCUCUGAAAUUCCAAUAAUAAUCUAGAAGGGGGGUUGAAUAGAUUAUUACAGAUUAAAAAAUUAUCUUAGGCCUUUUUGAAUUUUUGGAUAAUUAAUUUGUAGUGUUAGAAAUUAAUGUGCAAGACAGUAAAAAUUCAAUCACACAAUGCACAGAGAUUUGUCUGGUUCACAACAUACAUCCCGAGUAUGCUGCUACGUCCAGUCUCAAGCUCCUCUCCAGGACUUGAGAUCCUAUUACUAGCAGUAAUAAAUACUCCUUCAACAGGCGGAGAAGCCUUUACAGAGUUUUAUACUUAAGUUUAGUUGUACUUAAGUUUAGUUGUACUUCUUUUGAGUUCAGUUAUAUUCUAUGAUCUGGUCUUGAAACAACAGCCUCUUCCUCACCUCACAAGUACACUAGAGACCCAACUUCCCGUUGACCUCUCUAAGACUCUGGUUUUGGUCGAAGAAUUACUCUUCUUUCUCACAGGUACAUAAAAUAAACUAACUCUGACAUUUUCUCUUUUUACAAAUGAUUUUACAAUAAUAUGCUUCUCAAAUAAACAUAUAAGAAUUUAGUACAGAUGGAUGCUUCUUAAAUAAGCAUAUAUAAUUUAGUACAAAUUGAUGCUUCUCAAAUAAGCAUAUAUCAAUUAAAG
rnacentral:lncRNA from 1 species